ACUCCUUUUAUAAAAGCAGACGAGAGUUCCUGAAGCUUAUUAGAAACCCUCGUCAUGAAGCGGAUCAGAUUCUUCUUGAAGACAACAACACGCUUUUUAGGAUACCUAAUAAGCUUAUAGACGACGAAAUGAAGAUAAUGAGAAGCAAGAAGAUUCCUGUUCCAGACCAAUGUAACCGGAAUGCACGAGACUAUGAUCUUGCAGUCAUCAAAAUCCAUAUAAUGCAUUUUACAGAGUAGAGUAAAAGAUUGCAAUCCUGGAUUGCGAACAAGUUAUGAACAAGAAAACGAUUUGAGGUCCACUCCUUUAAAAGCAGACAAGAUUGUUCGGAGCUGAUUACCAACCCUCGUCAUGAAGCGGAUUCGAUUUAUCUCGACGACAACAAGCGUACUAAUACGGACCUAUUAAGUGUGUAUAAUUGUUGUAAACCUGUAAACGAUCCUAAUGUAUCAUACAGACACCGCAAGAAAGAGCUGAUCAUCCUUCGUCCACACGACUACACCAGGGCACCUAUAAUUGAGUUUCUGACUUACAAAGAACAGCUCAGCAGCUGUAAAAAGACUGUAUUCCCGAAGCAAUGAAGCAUCAUGAUGAGCUAGAAAGACUCUGUCACCACAAUCUUGCAAUCACCACAAUCAAUAACUCAAUAAGGAACUUAUAUGUUUGAGCAGCGAUGGAGCGGACUAUUUUGAGCCAAAGUUUGAGACAAUUUUGAGACAAUUUGAGGCUUUCGAUCAAAAAUAGUUUUAAAGCCACAUUUUAGAUUGAAAACAAAAUUUUGAAAUAUUGAAAUUGUGAAUAACCUUAUUGUUAUUAUUUUAAUUUGGGGAAGUAUUUUUUU